CACGCCCUAAACGAUGGAUACUAGGCGUAAGAGGUAUCGACCCCUCUUGUGCCGUCGCUAACGCAUUAAGUAUCCCGCCUGGGGAGUACGGCCGCAAGGUUGAAACUCAAAUGAAUUGACGGGGACCCGCACAAGCGGUGGAGCAUGUGGAUUAAUUCGAUACUAACCGAAGAACCUUACCCAGGUUUGACAUCGAUGGCAAUUCGCAGAAAUGUGAACCUCUUCCCACAAGGAAGACCUGAAGACACUUGU
rnacentral:rRNA from 1 species